rnacentral:rRNA from 1 species
GACGAACCGUGCGAACGUUGUUCGGAAUCACUGGGCGUAAAGGGUGCGUAGGCGGGUCUUUAAGUCAGGGGUGAAAUCCUGGAGCUCAACUCCAGAACUGCCUUUGAUACUGAGGAUCUUGAGUUCGGGAGAGGUGAGUGGAACUGCGAGUGUAGAGGUGAAAUUCGUAGAUAUUCGCAAGAACACCAGUGGCGAAGGCGACUCACUGGCCCGAUACUGACGCUGAGGCACGAAAGCGUGGGGAGCAAACAGG